rnacentral:rRNA from 1 species
AUGAACGCUGGCGGCGUGCCUCAUCCCUGCCAGUCGAGCGAACAGAUGAGGAGCUUGCUCCUCUGACGUUAGCGGCGGACGGGUGAGUAACACGUGGAUAACCUACCUAUAAGACUGGGAUAACUUCGGGAAACCGGAGCUAAUACCGGAUAAUAUAUUGAACCGCAUGGUUCAAUAGUGAAAGACGGUUUUGCUGUCACUUAUAGAUGGAUCCGCGCCGCAUUAGCUAGUUGGUAAGGUAACGGCUUACCAAGGCGACGAUGCGUAGCCGACCUGAGAGGGUGAUCGGCCACACUGGAACUGAGACACGGUCCAGACUCCUACGGGAGGCAGCAGUAGGGAAUCUUCCGCAAUGGGCGAAAGCCUGACGGAGCAACGCCGCGUGAGUGAUGAAGGUCUUCGGAUCGUAAAACUCUGUUAUUAGGGAAGAACAAAUGUGUAAGUAACUAUGCACGUCUUGACGGUACCUAAUCAGAAAGCCACGGCUAACUACGUG